GAUGAACGCUGGCGGCGUGCCUAAUACAUGCAAGUCGAGCGAACAGAUGAGGAGCUUGCUUCUCUGACGUUAGCGGCGGACGGGUGAGUAACACGUGGAUAACCUACCUAUAAGACUGGGAUAACUUCGGGAAACCGGAGCUAAUACCGGAUAAUAUUUUGAACCGCAUGGUUCAAUAGUAAAAGACGGUCUUGCUGUCACUUAUAGAUGGAUCCGCGCUGCAUUAGCUAGUUGGUAAGGUAACGGCUUACCAAGGCAACGAUGCAUAGCCGACCUGAGAGGGUGAUCGGCCACACUGGAACUGAGACACGGUCCAGACUCCUACGGGAGGCAGCAGUAGGGAAUCUUCCGCAAUGGGCGAAAGCCUGACGGAGCAACGCCGCGUGAGUGAUGAAGGUCUUCGGAUCGUAAAACUCUGUUAUUAGGGAAGAACAAAUGUGUAAGUAACUAUGCACGUCUUGACGGUACCUAAUCAGAAAGCCACGGCUAACUACGUG
rnacentral:rRNA from 1 species